rnacentral:rRNA from 1 species
AUGGCAACACAGAAGCUAGCCAUGGCUAUGGCCAUCUCCGCCGCGGUCCUGGCCGGUGCCCUCUCCCUGAACUCCCCGGAGGACUACGUCAGGCUCCACAACGCCGCUCGCGGGGCGGCUGGCGCCCAACCGGUGGCAUGGGACGACGAGGUGGCGCGGGAAGCCGGGAAGCGCACUGAGCGCGGCUGUGGGCUCCGUAGGCCGGACGGCGCCGGCUACGACGACGAACCCCGCCAUCAUAGGUAUGGCGAGAAUCUGUUCCGUGGCCCGCCCGAGAAGGCGUGGAACGCGGGCGACGCGUUGGACGCGUGGACGGCACCGGCGGCGAGGGAGUACGUUCAGGUCGUGUGGCCGGACUCCACCAAGAUCGGCUGUGCCCGUGCCGUCUGCGGCCACGGUCGCGGCGUCUUCAUAAGUUGCAACUACGAGCCCGCUGUGAAUGCGAACUUGAGAAGGGCGGUCCUUCCUGCCAUGUGUAGGUUCAACAUCAGCCGUUGCUUCAACUGUACCAUAUGCUAG